rnacentral:rRNA from 1 species
CCUACGGGAGGCAGCAGUGAGGAAUAUUGGUCAAUGGGAGAGAUCCUGAACCAGCCAAGCCGCGUGCGGGAAGACGGCCCUAUGGGUUGUAAACCUCUUUUGUCGGAGAACAAAACCCGGGACGUGUCCCGGACUGCGUGUAUCCGAAGAAAAAGCAUCGGCUAACUCCGUGCCAGCAGCCGCGGUAAUACGGAGGAUGCGAGGGUUAUCCGGAUUUAUUGGGUUUAAGGGGUGCGUAGGCGGUCCGUUAAGUCAGCGGGAAAAUUGCGGGGCUCAACCCCGUCGAGCCGUUGAAACUGGCAGACUUGAGUUGGCGAGAAGUACGCGGAAUGCGCGGUGUAGCGGUGAAAUGCAUAGAUAUCGCGCAGAACUCCGAUUGCGAAGGCAGCGUACCGGCGCCAGACUGACGCUGAGGCACGAAAGCGUGGGGAUCGAACAGGAUUAGAUACCCCGGUAGUC